UACGUAGGGUGCAAGCGUUAAUCGGAAUUACUGGGCGUAAAGCGUGCGCAGGCGGUGAUGUAAGACAGAUGUGAAAUCCCCCGGGCUCAACCUGGGAACUGCAUUUGUGACUGCAUCGCUAGAGUACGGCAGAGGGGGAUGGAAUUCCGCGUGUAGCAGUGAAAUGCGUAGAUAUGCGGAGGAACACCGAUGGCGAAGGCAGCCCCCUGGGUUAACACUGACGCUCAUGCACGAAAGCGUGGGGAGCAAACAGG
rnacentral:rRNA from 1 species